AGUGCUUGGGUUCGUUGUGUAGGUAGCAGUUACAUGAAUCGUUUCGCGGUUUAGUGUUGUGGUCGUCGCAUGUGGCGGUCGUCACCGCUUCUGUAAUUUUUGUACUUGAUGGGGAGCUCCACAAUCGAGAUAUGCUUCCGGAGUCCCGUGCAGGUCACAUUCUACCCUUUAGUUGGCUGUAAGUUGCUGAAUGCGCAAUCAAGAGCUUCACGAUGAGGACCAAAUCUCCAAAGUGGCCAGAAAGUUCAGCGAACCUUUUAGGGCAAGGCUUCGGUCCCCCUUCAUAAGCCACUUCCGAGCUCUCGGACGUUCAGCGCCCGUGCCUUUAGCGUGAUAUAUUGAGUGUAUCGAGUGCUUUUAUGGAUGCUGUUGAACCGAAAUAUAUGUCUCAUUCUUCAUUUUCUGCCUUUCAGGUACAUAGUACAAAGGAAGGCGUGACCGCACAAAACAACACUUUUUGUUGACUCCAUGAAGAUUUUGUGUGCCAGCUUGAUGCUUUGGUUCUUUUAAUAUAUGUUCUACGUUGCGUGUACUACACUAUGUUGACAUCCAUCGCUAAAUUGCAUUGUAACCCGCGUGUAGUUUCAGUUACUGUAAUGUUUUACAGUAUUGCCCGUGACAGUAUUGUGUGUUUUGCGAAGUAUUUUUACUGUGCUUUCGGGAGUCUCUUUUAAUGCAAUUUACAGGUCCAACCACUGUCUACGCCCUAAUAUGGGUAUAUUAGAGCCUCGCGAUCACCAGAGAAUGCCCGCAGUAUCUUAUUAUCGUGUCACAUGACGAGGAGUGUUGCGCAACAGACCUCUAUCCGAAAAACGUCAUGGUGACGUUGGCAGACAGACUGCAACCGAAACAAAUCUAAAGGGGAUGGCUGCGCUCCACGAAUGGGAACUUGUCCCUCCCUCCUAUUGAAAGAAAAGUAGGAUCGACGGUCGCGUCCCCUUCAGGGACCAUCGUAAUCACGUUAAGACCGUGGCUUUCGGGCGCGACCUUUUUCGCUCCUCCCCCUGGCUUCCAACGCAGUUCAACUCUGCCAAAUUGGUGAUGCUGUCGAACACAAUGACGUCAUUUUUUUAGAAACCGGGGAGAGGUCUUAAACUCUUUAUAGAGUCGCAUGUUUGUUGCAUGUAACGCGCGAGCCAUUGUUAGUACGUUACUCUCAAAUGCAUCUAAUUCGGGAAGCACGCUAAACACGUACUUUGACUACGUUCUUGCAGGCGUACCUACGAAAGUAGCUCACAUCGGUCGACUUAAGUGUCGGUGGUGCUCGUACAGUUCGCGAUUUGGAUCAACCAUGCUGAGACACGAGCGGAGACACACGGGUGAGAAGCCUUUUGAGUGUCAUCUGUGCCCGAAGGCGUUUUCUCAAGCUUGCAACCUGAAGAUUCACCUCCGUUCCCACACUGGAGAAAGACCCUAUAGAUGCCAGUUGUGCCCCAAAGCAUUUGCGUGCAAUCAGGUUAUGAAGCGUCACAUGAACAGGCACAAAAAUAUUGGUCCGUUUCGAUGUGCACAGUGCGAUAAGUCGUUCCACAGCAGACCCGGACUCUUGAAGCACAAGUCAUCUUGUAGAAGGUUUAGCGGACAUUUGUAGUGUGGAUCGUUCAAAAACUUUGAGUGGCACAGUUAUUGCAUCAGUACUGGUAUUUGUACUCCAAUUGUGGCUGUGCACAGUCGUAUCGUGACGGUCGACAAGUGUCGUUAUAUGUAGCAAUUAAAAGUUGUAACGAA